rfam:Anaerotruncus sp. CAG:528 genomic scaffold, scf1
AAUACAUUCGCUGUUCAACCAAAGACAGCAGGUGCCUUUUGGCGUAAGAUGAUUCAUCGCCUGCCGAGGAAUGAGCAUUUUGAAUUUAUUUCGUUUGCUUUAAGCAUAUCGUAUGAUGAUAAAUGUUGUGCAUUCCGUUCUGCGGGAUGCACUUUUUAUUUGUUUUG